UGCCCAUUCACAUCUUUUUAUCUUCUCGUCUCUUUUCCUUCCUGACACUGACGUGCAUCAUGGAGAUCCCUCUUCAAGGAAAGAUUUGGUGACUAGCAGUGGGAAGUGGAACCAGAAGACAGCCUCCCGCUGUCAGCUCUUUCAGGAUCUGCCUCAGCUGCAGAGAGUCUCUGACCAAGGCCAUGCCUGCCCUGGGACAGUCUGCUUCUGAUUUUAUUAUGGCCCAGCUGAACCAGAUGUCUCUCUCCUUGUCACUGUAAUGUUACAUUCUGGAAAGAAUUGAAGGAGAAACAAUUUCCCAGUAAUAUAGAACACUUUAAGAUGCUCCUAUCAGAUGAACUAUGUGAUGGAAAACCAACUAGAACUCUGCAGAUAUGGGAAAGUAAAACUGGUAACUUUAACUGGAGACAGAGGAGAAAGACUACGGUGGACCAUGGAAUUAGGUGACUUCAAAGAAAGAUGAGAUCCAUUACGGAAGAUCAACAAGGAGAAUGAAAGCAUUGAAGGUAGCAGGAAUUUUCCAUCCUUUCAAAAAAGUG